rnacentral:piRNA from 1 species
AAGAUAUGGUAAACCUUCACU